CAUAUGGAUGUCAGCAGCCGCGCGGUAAUACGAAGGGACCUAGCGUAGUUCGGAAUUACUGGGCUUAAAGAGUCGUAGGUGGUGAAAAAGUUGGUGGUGAAAUCCCAGAGCUUAACUCUGGAACUGCCAUCAAAACUUUUCAGCUAGAGUAUGAUAGAGGAAAGCAGAAUUUCUAGUGUAGAGGUGAAAUUCGUAGAUAUUAGAAAGAAUACCAAUUGCGAAGGCAGCUUCUGGAUCAUUACUGACACUGAGGAACGAAAGCAUGGGUAGCGAAGAGGAUUAGAUACCCUCGUAGUCCAUGCCGUAAACGAUGUGUGUUAGACGUUGGAAAUUUAUUUUCAGUGUCGCAGCGAAAGCGAUAAACACACCGCCUGGGGAGUACGACCGCAAGGUUAAAACUCAAAUGAAUUGACGGGGACCCGCACAAGUAGUGGAGCAUGUGGUUUAAUUCGAAGAUACGCGCAGAACCUUACCAACACUUGACAUGUUCGUCGCGACUUUAAGAGAUUAAAGUUUUCGGUUCGGCCGGACGAAACACAGGUGCUGCAUGGCUGUCGUCAGCUCGUGUCGUGAGAUGUUGGGUUAAGUCCCGCAACGAGCGCAACCCUCACUUUUAGUUGCCAUCAUUAAGUUGGGCACUCUGAAAGAACUGCCAGUGAUAAGCUGGAGGAAGGUGGGGAUGACGUCAAGUCCUCAUGGCCCUUACGUGUUGGGCUACACACGUGCUACAAUGGUAUCUACAACAGGAAGCAAAACCGCGAGGUUAAGCAAAUCCUUAAAAGAUACCUCAGUUCGGAUUGCACUCUGCAACUCGAGUGCAUGAAGCUGGAAUUACUAGUAAUCGUGGAUCAGCGUGCCACGGUGAAUGCGUUCCCGGGUCUUGCACACACCGCCCGUCA
rnacentral:rRNA from 1 species